rnacentral:lncRNA from 1 species
GGUCCCACCACAUGAACCGCCAACUCUAUCGCUGUUUCGCCUCCACCAGCACCAUGUUCCUGUGGGCCCUCUUCUUAAUCGCCCUCACCGCUUCCUAUCUCAGCUUCCAAGGCUUCGUCGAUUCCGGCAGCCGCUACCUCACCGCCUCCUGGGGCGGGAUCCAGUGGGAGAAGCAGGUCCGCACCUCCGCCCAGAUCCACCGUCAAGGCGGCAUGUCCGUCCUCGUCACCGGCGCAGCCGGCUUCGUCGGCUCCCACGUCUCCCUCGCCUUAAAACGACGCGGAGACGGCGUCGUCGGACUCGACAACUUCAACGACUACUACGAUCCGUCCCUCAAAAAAGCCCGCAAGUCCCUCCUCGCCACGCACGACGUCUUCAUCGUCGAAGGCGAUGUCAACGACGCGAAACUCUUGGCGAAGCUCUUCGAUGUGGUUGCUUUCACUCACGUGAUGCACCUCGCGGCGCAGGCUGGGGUUCGCUACGCCAUGGAGAAUCCCCACUCGUACGUCCACAGCAACAUCGCGGGCCUCGUCACGCUUCUCGAGGCCUGCAAAACCGCGAACCCUCAGCCCGCUAUCGUCUGGGCCUCGUCCAGCUCCGUCUACGGGCUCAACGAGAAGGUUCCCUUUUCCGAAUCGGACCAGACCGACCAGCCCGCUAGUCUCUACGCCGCAACGAAAAAGGCCGGUGAGGAAAUCACUCACACCUACAAUCACAUCUACGGUUUAUCCAUCACCGGUUUGAGAUUCUUCACCGUGUACGGACCCUGGGGGAGACCCGACAUGGCUUAUUUCUCUUUCACCAGGAACAUCUUACAAGGGAAACCUAUUACCGUUUACCGCGGUAAAAACCAUGUCGACCUGGCUAGGGAUUUCACCUACAUUGAUGAUAUUGUGAAGGGUUGCGUCGGGUCGUUGGAUACUUCGGCUAAGAGUACCGGGUCGGGUGGGAAGAAGCGUGGACCCGCUCCGUAUAGAAUAUUUAACCUGGGGAAUACUUCGCCGGUUACUGUUCCUACUCUUGUGAGUAUAUUGGAGCGGCAUUUGAAGGUGAAGGCGAAGAGGAAUAUUGUGGACAUGCCUGGAAACGGUGACGUUCCGUUUACUCACGCGAAUAUUAGUUCGGCCCGGAGAGAGCUCGGGUACAAGCCCACGACCGAUUUGCAAACCGGGUUGAAGAAGUUCGUCAAGUGGUAUCUUUCCUAUUACGGCUACAAUCACGGCAAACCUGUAAAUUAAUAAAUUUUGUUUUGUUUCCUUUUUAUUCGGGAAGGGUUUUCUUUUUCUUUUUCUUUUUUAGUGUGGUAGGUUUUAAGUCACAGAUAGAAAAAAAGAAGAAGAAAGAACCUGGUCAAGAAGAAGAAGGGAAACUGGAUUAAAAGGAAGAAAGAAAAGAGGGGGAAAAAAAGAGAAAAGAAAAGAAAAGAAGAGAAGGAGAAGAUUUACAUUCUUUACUUGGGAGGCCAGCUAAAACAGCUGUUGUUCCUUCGUUGAUUUCUUUUCUUUUUUGGUAUUAAUUGGUGUUUUUUGUAUUUUAUUUUUUACAUUUUCUUAUUCUGUAAAGAAAGAAAGUUCGAGUUCAACCUCGAUUUAUUUAGUUGUUGUUUAUAUUUAAAUUUAAAUGUUUACUUUGUCCUAAAGUUGAUUAGAGCGAGAAAUGCGUUGCACCGUAAUUUUCGUUUGGUUUGUUGGUUCGUCCGUCAAUCAUCGCUCCCUUGUGAAGUGUUUAACCAUUGAACUCUUACAUUUAGUCAAUCCAAUAGGCAUAAGGAGGAUAAGUAUAAGUUUUGUUUUACAUUUUUAGACAUUGAAUAUAGAGUGAGAAGAUUUGCAAGAAAUAUAAGCGAACAAUUUGUUAGGGAUAAAAGUUCAGGAUAGUUUUUGGUAUAUAAUGAAAGUAUUUUAUUUGUUAAUUAAUUACUUAUCGAAUAAAAUAUGGUGAAUUUGGAGGAGGGGAUUUGAUAGGUGGAGACAGCAAGGAUGACAGGAGCAAUUGGAGAAGUACGGUAGGAUGUGGGAGUGUGGCCGUUGGAUUUGGAGGAAUUAGAUUGGUAUAUUUGUCCAGCUGUAAAGUACUUACGUAGUAGCAAGUGCAGUGGCGGUGGGUUCAGCAGCUUGCCGACACUCACUCGGGUCACCAAAAGAGGCAUGCUGGAUGGAUGGAUGGUGUAAUUUUUUUCUUUUAGAUUUAUAGGUGGAUAGUUCAUCGUUUUCGUUUUUGAAAUAUCACAUAUCAAUCUAAUUUUUAAUAUGAUAAUAUUCAGAGACUAAUAUUUAAUAGAUUGCAUAAUACUAGUAGUAUAAUUUAUAUUUAGGAUUAUUUUGUAUAAUUGAUCAUUUUUUCCUUUAGGCGGACGUGGAUGUGAACAUUAUUAAAGGUCUGGGCUUUUCUAGUGGGUCCGUUUGCAUUGUUGUUGGUCUGGAUGUGAGUGUGAUCCGGUUUUCUUAAAUUCCGGAAAACUUUAUUCUUCUAACAUUUUUAUCAGUUUUUUUUUUAUCAUAUUAUAUAUUUAUUAUAUCUAUAUAUUUCCCUCUAUUCUCUUUUUACCUGUCUAUGUAUCAUAAAAUAAUUAUGAUGGGGGAAAAUGGAAUCCAAUAACAAAUAAGGUUUGUCCGUGUUGUGCGAAUUUGCUUCAAAUGGGCCCCUUAGCCUCUAGAGGCAGAGAUUUAUUUGCGUGUUAAUCAUUGCAGGUUUUGGUGUUUGGAGUGUAUCUUUUCUAAAAUGGCAUGCUAAAGGCUAAAGCAACGGCUUAAUCUAAUUCAUUUGUUCUAGAUUAACAUAAUACAACGUCACAUCCACCGACAUGCUGUAUGGGCCCAAUUAGCAUGUGAGUUGGUGUGUCAAUGACCUUAAAUAAAUAAAAUAAAUCUAUACAUUAAUUUUUUUAUUGAUGUAUUUUUUUUUACUAGUCUAUUAAUGUAUCCUUACUAUCUUAUAAAAAAAUAAAUGCAUCCUUUAAAAAAAUGUGUUAAUGCUUUAAAUUUUAUAAAUAUUUAAUAUCUAAGAAGAUUUUGAAUGACAUUUAUAAUUAAUUGUUUAUCAAUUAGCUAAAACCAACAACGCAGUUUGCUUCAUGAUUUUUUAUGAAAUGAAAUUAUGAAAAACAAAAACUUUAAAUAUGGGAGCUUUGGGAUGUUGUUAUCACUUACCAAAAUUAAGCAGCUUGUGCAGUUUAGCGAGUUAUUGAUAGCUCUUAAAUAGUAGUAGCUGCAUAUCUUAGAGAUGUGCGUUCAAUAAAAAGGACUCUUAAUUUACCGACUGAGACUAUGUGUAGGCCAGCUUGGAUUGAUUGACUAGCAUGAGCGGUGGUUGGUUGAAACUAUAAACUUUUUGCUUGGAUAAGAAUGUGAAGGGACAAAAUAGUGAAUCAACUUUAUUUAUUUUUUCCAUGGAAAGAGACAGAGAGGUGUUAUAUGAUACUGUGUUCUAAAAUUAUCUCAAAUCACAUGGAGAUUGUUCUUGCUCGGAAUCGGAUUUUAAGUUUUGCAAACGUAGAGGAUGAGUGCAAUGUCUAAGAAUGAAUUGAGUACCUAUUCCCCUAAUCAUAAAAUCUCAAUCAUUCAAGAGCUGAGGUCACGAAUUGAUUAUAAAUAUCAUUUAUUUUUAAUUUACUGAGACAUUGUUUUAUUAAAGAUAAAAUUGUGACGAUAUAUUAUACAUCUAAAUGAAUAAUGUCUCAGAUAUGAGAAUUCUAAUGAUAUUUGUAAACUGUGACACUCAACCAAACACUUAAGCGGAUAAUAUUUUGGAUACAAAAACCCUAGUAAUAUCUACGAAUUUGUGAUUGGGAGACUUAUUUUGAUAAUCAUAAAGUCCCACAUCGUUUGUAAGCAUGCUUUCAUCUCAACCCAUUGAGAUGUUUUUUUACAAGGAUAGAAUUAUAACGGUUAACAACUACUUAUACGAACAAUACCUUAAAUAUAGAGACCUUAACAAUACCUACAAAUUUGAGAUCUAAGCUCAAAUGGUCUAACUCUUAGUCAACAUUAGUUUACUAUUAUAUGAAAAUUAUUGGAAACGCUCUUAGUCAACAUUGGUUUAUUGUUGUGUACCAAAAUGCUAAAUACCUAAACAGACAAUAUCUCAUAUACAUAUUUAACAUAAUCUUUUUAGUAAUGGACCAGGUGAAAGAAAUCUUGCAAUGGAAGUGACAAAAAUUAAUGUAAUUUAAUGAGUUAAUAUGUGUUUGGAGAACCUCCAAAAUCAUGAUAAAUUAUGGUGAGGUGGGUCAACUUUAAUUUUGACCAAGUUUUACAUGUUUGGAUUGUUUUCAAAAUCAUGGUCAAAUCAAUUAUGUUGCCCAAAAAUCAUUGUGGAAUUGAAGCAAGUAGAAGUAGUUUCUACUUAUAUCAAAAUUAAUUCUACAUUAAUCAUUUAUAUAAAUUAAUUUCAUUAAAAAUCAAAAUUUCCAUCACUAAUUUAAACACACACAAAAUGAAUCUUGUUUCAUAAUUAAUGGAUUUCGCAUACAACAAAAAAUUAUUUUUUUAUUUAUAAGAAUUGAACAUAAUAUAAAAAAAUUUACAUCACUUAUAUCUUAUUCAACCAAUUAAGAUAGACUCCCUUCAUACAUAUAACAAUAAAUUAAUGUUCUAAGAACAUCUACAGUAAUUUUCAUACACGUAACCCAAACUAUGCUACUUCAAUCUAAAACAAUUUAAUUAAUAUUUCUCCAUUGAGAGUUUUUAUAGUAACAAGUUACUCAACUCACAAAUCUCUCCUACAUUUAAUAUAAAGUCGAGUAAUUCCCUAAUAAUAAUUACUCAUAUAAGCAAUAAAAUAAUACCUGAUCACUUAAUGGAUUUUGAAUUCUUAACUGAUGAUAAAUAAUAAAAUAGAAAAAAAUAAAAGUUAAAUAAUAAAAUUAAAAUUGAUGUAUAAAAACAUAUUUAAACUUAUUUUAAAAUGUUUUUCAUCAAAUAUAAAAUAAAGGUUAUAUAUACACUUAUUGUCUCUUAGCAGCAUAGUAGAUACCCUCAUACCCCACAGUUCUGCUUUAAGAACCGAACAUCCCUUCAUCAUAGCACCAUAGCCACAAAUAAACAUACCUGUAUUGUCUCUUAGCACCCCAUCACAGGCCGCCAGUCUAUGACUGUGUUUAUGUCACUAUGUCAGUGAGCAAGAUUUUUCGAUCCUCAUAAAUGCUUAUCUAACUAAACCAUUACAAAUUCGUUACAAAUAUAAUUAAUUAAUCCUAUUACUGUUUCUUGACAUGCUAAGCACAGACUUAGCUCUUUGUGAAGCAAUUAUGAAGCAAUUAUAAUAUACUCACAAACCUAUUUCUUUCAUGCACUAUAUUUGACUUUGAACAUGCGAGUUUCUUUAUGGAUACACCACUUUUAUCACGUUGUCAUCUCCAUAAUCAUUAAAUAAUAAUAAAGGAUAAACGUUUCCUGAAAUGAAGUUUUGCUUUAACUUGCAAUCUACAUUUUAACAACUUCAGGGGAUUCCAUAAAAAAAACUUUCUCUAAAAAAACAAACAAACAAACAAAAAACUUCAGGGGAUUAUAAUUUAAAUAGGGUAAAUGAAACCAGAAAAAACAGUUUCCCUUUUUUCCGUGGUUAUAUAUAUAUUUACUUAUAUAUUUCAUGUUAUGUUUGCUUGAACAUAAUUAAAAAAAGAAAGAAACUGAAAAUGUUUAAUUACUUUUUUCCUCAUGUUUGAAUAUAAUAAGAAAAAUAGAAAGAGAGGAGGAAAAAAAAAGUCUCGUGAAUCUUACAUAAAAAUAUUUUUUUUUUCUUUUCAUCUAUAAAAUAGGAGUUCUCUACAAAAAAAAGGAGAGAGAACCAAAAUUGUAUAAAAUAACAAACUAAUCCAUUUUUUACCUAUUAUUAAAUUUUUAUAUUAAUAUAUUCUGUUAAAAUUAGAAAAAGUUUAAUUACUUUGCGGGUCAAGAGUUUUAUAAAUUUUUAAUUAGAUUUAAAAAUUUGUAUUGGUUUUCUGAUUAGAUUGAUGCAUUAGGACCUAAUUAAAAAAUAAAUAUAAAUUUAGAGAUCUAAUUAAAAAAUAUAUAGAAAAUUAAUUAAAAAUGAUCAAAUCCGGUUUAUUUGAAGAAAAAGAUCUUAAUCCCGAUUAUUUUAAAGUUGGAUCGAAAGCAUACUUUUCAUUAAAUUUGAUCGAGAAUUAUUUAUAAAAAAAGAUAAAAGUCGAAUAAUAUCGAUCAAAUCAUUAUAUUUUAAAAUGUUUUUGAUUUAAUUUUACCGUUGAUUUUAAAAUUAAUGGUCCUGAAAAUUUCCUCCCUAAUUGGGCGUUUCACAUCUCCGCAUCCUUUUACUACCACCAAGUGUGAAGUUUCCACAAAAUCUGGAGAGACAAGAGAAGUGAAUCCAAAGGAAUUAAUUAAUUGUUAGUGGAAUGCGAUUCACUCUUCUUUCCCGUGCGCCUGCUCCUUUUCUUUCUACCGCCUUCCUUAAAUUCAAAUUCGUUGCACCUUCCGCAGCGACUUUCACUAGGGUUUCUCGCAUGGCCGCUUCACCUUCUUCCGCGGCGCUUCGCGACGGCGCUCCUUUCGCUUCCUCCGCCAUUGAUUUCCUCUCUAUCUGCCACCGCCUCAAGGUGCUUCUUAGUAAACUAGCUUUCUAUUCUGUAGUAAUGUACUUCUUCGUUUAUCAGAAGUGCCGCAGAAAUUAAAGAGAUAACGGUUGUUUAUUUUUGGUUGCUAAAAUUCUCAGUACGUGUUAAUCUAAGCUUGGUUUAAGUUUUAUUUGAUUGGCUUUAUGUGACUUCAAUAAAAGCUCGAUUGCUCAAGUGCUGUUUGUUUGUUUUUUUUUUAUUUUUUUUGCUUUGCCUGCUUUUAAUUUGUUGUGCCCUAACUUGUUUGGAUUUUGUGUGGUAUUUGAAACAGACAACAAAGCGAACAGGUUGGGUGCGAAAAGAUGUUAAGAAUCCAGAAUCUAUAGCCGAUCAUAUGUAUCGAAUGAGUUUGAUGGCUCUGGUUGCAUCAGAUGUCCCCGGUGUAGACCGAAACAAGUUAAUCCACCUUCCUUUUUCCUCAGCUGUAUAUAUGUUUAUUAAUGACUUUCUUUUGGCAAUGCACCUUUUAACCUUAGGAUGGGAGGUAGGUUUUCUGAAACUUUUUUUUUUUCUUUCAGGUGCAUUAAAAUGGCUAUUGUUCAUGACAUUGCAGAGGGUAUGCUAAUGCUUGCUUUGUGUUAUUUGUCUGUGCCUGGUAAAAGUGGUUCUGCAUGCCUAAACUAUUGUUUAUGAAUAAUGAUAUAAUAUAGUGGACAAGUUUGGCUGAAUUCAGCUGGAAAGUAAUAAUCUGGUGAAAUGCAAAUAAACCGAAACAAUGGAUGAGACUGAGUGAAUGCAUGGGCCAGGUUACGUUUGAAUUUUGAAAAUAGAUUAGUUACGAAUACCAUAGUGUUGCAGGUGGAAACCCUGACAGCAAUAAGUUUUUAUGAUGCAAUUUGAUUAUUGAUCUGGAAACUAACACAUACACAUAGAUUUCUCCCCAGCAUUCUGCUGUUUUCAUGUUACACGCGAUGAUAACUUGAUAAAAGACUGGAAGUUCACAUGAGUGAAUUUGAAUUUCAUAAUGCCAGCUGGUUGAUUUGAUGCAUGCAAAUUCACAAUGUGUUUGUAACCCCUAUUUUGGUUUUAUUAAAGGAGAUUUUGGGUUUUCAAGUUAUUAGGAGCUUGAACACAAGAGUACAAUAUCAUCUAUAUCUCAUGCUCUCUUCAAAGUUCUGAUCUACAAUUUCAUUUGUUCACUUUGGUGCUUUCUUUAAUAGCAAUUGUUGGGGACAUAACUCCAUUGGAUGGAGUUUCUAAAGCAGAAAAGAAUCAACGAGAACAGGCAGCACUAGAUCAUAUGUGUAAAGUACUUGGAGGAGGAUCUACAGGUACUUUUUUUUCACUCUGUACAUGAGUUUGUUAAUGAGAUAAUAAUGAAAACUCACAACUCUUGGUUUUUAAUUGAAUUGUCAUAUUGAAGCAAUGGAAAUAGCAGAGUUGUGGAUGGAGUAUGAAGCAAAUUCUUCCCCAGAAGCUAAAUUUGUCAAGGACCUUGACAAGGUUUGUGGCUUUUUUGCUAUUGUCUUUCAAUGAGUCACAUUUGAGCCAUACCUUUUGACUUGUGUGUGUUUGGUACAAUACCCUGCUAUGGCCUAGGGAGGCUGCAUCAUUAGAUGGGUAAUUGUGCCUAACGGAUUAAGAGGUCCCCACUAGGGGGAUGGGGGGCAGAGAGUGAGGUAGAGAAACUAGGGUAAUGUGAAAGGGCUGUUCCAUUAGGAGGGAGUAUUGAACCUUUUCCCGAGAACUUGCAAUGUCCCAACCAAGUGAGCUAGCCUCAGGUUUUUGACUGAUAAUAAUUAGGUAUUGUGAUUCAUGAAUUAUGGACUUUCGUUUUAGAUUUUCGUGAUAUAUUUCCUUGUCUGUUUCAGCUUCUUUAAAAACUGUAUACUGGUUUAUACAGAUUAAUUUAUCUGUUUCAUUAAAAGGGAGAAGAUGCUAGUGUGAUGAUGCUGUUCAACUAUUGUUUUCCUUUGCUUUGAAUCUUUUCACCGCCAUUUUUAAUUUAAAUCUAAUUAUGUAAUGUACUUUUCUUUUUCCCUAAGGGGUUGGGAUAAAUUGCAUUUGGGCCUUCCUGGAUUUAACUUAUGGUUAAAAGGAAGAAACAAAAAUAAUAAGUAGCUCAUUUAUUGUUAAUAUUCUGUCUGGCAGAUGAUUUUGAUUCAUUUACAAUGAUUAUGUAACAUUUUGGCCUGCAUUUAAAAUACCUUUGGUUCUUGCCAUCUUCACAACUAUUUGUUUUGAUUCUAUAAAUUUUGUUCCAUACAGGUGGAGAUGAUACUCCAAGCUUUGGAAUAUGAAGUUGGUGAGAGAAAUUUUCAAUUCUAUUUUUCUUAAUAUCUUUUCAUUUUAUUAUUAUCAUAUACAGUCCUUGUAGAGUUGCUUGUCAAUUCUUCAAACAAUACAUAUUACAAUAUUGAUUGUCAAGGAAUUUAUGCAAGUGAUGCUAAAUUUAACGCAUGUUAAACUUUUGGCACCAUGGUCUUCCUGGAUUGGAUGAGUGGCCUCUAUAAUUAAGACAAGGUGGGUGGAGGGUUAGAGGUUGUGAUAACUGAUAAGUUUUAUCAUCUUUGGCAACAAGUUGACUAUUAUGGGCCAGUUUGUUUAAACUUAUUUGUUGAAAUAAGUGCUUAUUUUAAUAAAAUAAGCAACUUUAUGUUUUUUUACUGUUUGUUUAAACUGCCUCUGCUUAAGAAAAACAGUUUUCUGUUUAUUUUAAGAAGUAAAUCCUAUCUAUUUCUUAAAAAAACGCUUAUAUAAAAAGAACUUAUUUUAAAGUUGUUUUUUUUAAGUUUAAACAAACUCAGCCUAUAUAUAAUAUUCUAGCUAGGAUAUUUGUUGUGUAUAGGGUAUCUUUGGUGACAACUGAUAAAUUGUAUUACAAUAAGGAUGAUGAGGAUGAACAACUAUUAAACUGUGCAUUCAUAUUUUUACAAAUGUCUCUGUAAUCAGUAAUUUUAUGUCAUGGGCGUUUUUGGUAGAAUGGCAAAAAUAACGGUGUUAUCUACUAUGUCACGGUGUUCUUGCAUUUGGUUCGUCUCCUCUGUUAUCUACUCAUAUGACAAAUAUUGAUUUUGACUACUCAGUUGUAAUAUUCUAAUUUUGUAAAAGUGUGGUGUGGUAUGUAGAAGAAUGCCGGAUGCAUUCUCCUAGUUAAGAUUACUAACAAAAAUUACGUAAGAAGUACAACCUCAAUAAUUGUUUUAAAUUCCCGUACAUGAUGCAUUUAGAGUUUAAAAUUUAUACUAUGCUACAAACAUUGGAAUGAGUGGGGUAUUUUGGUGAUUGCUAUUUUCAUUUGUAGAUUUGUUUGUGUAAAAUCCAUAUGGUCUAGAUCUUCUGAAAUUUGUUCUCCCAUGACCUUUUGCAGAGCAGGGGAAGGAUCUGGAUGAAUUUUUCUGGUCAACUGCUGGUAUGGUUUUCUUCAAAGUGUGAUUUAUUAGUUUAUGUUCUGAAGUUGAAUGAUUGAGGCCAAUAUCGUGUUUGUUAACAAAAAGAAAUUCCACAUUAAUGAUUUCUUUACCUGCCCCUUCUUUUGUAUGUGUGGAACAACAUGGAUAAGCCUCAGUUAUCAGUAGUACAUGGUUGCUAACAUGAGAUGGAAUGUCACAUGACAUUUAAAAAUAUAGCUUUCAAAGUUCCUACUUGAUGUGGGGUUUGAUCCUAUGAAUUUGAUCUUAUUUUGUUCAGUUGGUAAAAGUUGAGCACUGAAGAGGUGCCUUGAAUUAGUUGAUCAUGUGUUGGAGGAUGGAUGAAUUGUUCACUUGUUUUUUGAUUCAUUUUUUUCCAUAAUUUCUUUUUUCACUUGUUUACAAAUUAUCAAUUAUCUACUUUUUAUGAUUUGAUAGUUUUGAUAAUGCAUUGAAGAAAAUUGUUACCCUUUUGCAGGGAAGUUCCAAACUGAAACUGGCAAAGCCUGGGCAUCAGAGAUAGUAUCGAGAAGGAAGAAUAAUAAAUAAACCUCCCAGUAUGGAUCUUCCUUUCAAUGGGAUAGGGAUAGGUGGGGCUGUAUUUGGUUUGUUGAUGUGGGUUUUAUGUUCUUUUGGUCACAUUGGCAUGAAUGGGCGUAAUAGAUGGUAGAGGGAUAAUAACAGCGGCAAGAUGGUACGGACCACCUAAGAAAAGAGAAAUUAAAGCUGUGCAUGAAGCAGCGUAUAGUGAAAUCCACUAGGAGAUUUAAUCUCACCAUAAUCAAAUUUGUUCAACUAUGUCUAACCAUCAUUAUUUAUUUAUCAUUCAAAUCAGUGGACUGAAACUAUUGUUGAACUUUAAAAAGAUAGAUUCCAUGAAUUUUUCUUGCUAUGGAAUAAAGCAGAUCUGGGAUCACUCUCUUCCCGUGUGCUGCAUAGAAGUAUUUUUCCCGAUAUUUAUACCCACAGUAUCUUACUUAUUUUUUUUAGAGGCACAGUAUCCUACUUUAAUAACAUCAGAAAAAGUCCAAUGAUCAAAUCAACAAAAUAUUAAAUUUAAGGCCAUGUUGACGGGAUGCUAAAAUAUUAAAGCCAUGCUAUUCCUUAUAACUAAAUCACGUUGAAUGAUCCCUCUUAUCAUUUCAAUAUAAUAUAAUAUUAUAUAAUAUAUCAUUAUAAAAAAUAGCUUUAUGUUUACCGAGAAAAUAUUUAAAUUUAGAUUAUAUUAAUAUAAGUAAUUAAUUACUGUUAACAAGAAUGCUAAAAAAUAAUAAUGUCUAUGGAAAGAGAAAUAUAAAUAGAAAAUAUUAUAAAAAGGAUAUAAAGAAAAUGUACUAUACAAAUUGGCAGUCUUUAUACUGCACUGGAAAAGGUUUUGAUUAAUACUUCUAAAUUUUCUUUGAAAUGGUUAUUAAAACUGUCCAAUUGACGAUACAUGUCAAUUCUAUGAAAUUUCUUUCACCCAUGGUAUCCUUUUUUCUUGUUCCUGUCGUUAGAUAAUUUGGUAACUUAAUUUAGUUUUAUCCUUAUCAUUUAAACAUGGGCCUCACUUUUUAAUAUGCAAUGUAAUUUUAUUUUAUAUUAUAAAUUAUAAUUUUUAGUUAGAAAAGUGAAGUUCUAAUUUUUUUUUUUAUUUUUUCGUAAAUACAAUUUCUUAUUACUUUUUCUUUAUUGAAAGAUGUAUUUUACACUAUUUUAUAAUUAAUUAAAAAAUAUUUCUCUCAAUUAUUUCAAACUAUCCUUAUUUUUAUAUUUUAUUUUUUCAUUGUUUAUUCAUUUUAAUUAAAAAUAAUUUUAUAUCACAAUUAAAAUUAUUUAUAAUAAAUAUAAAUAUAAUUUGUAUAGUUAAAAUUAUUUAUUAAUCAUAAACUAUAAUUAUAGUUAUAUAAUAAAUAUUUAUCUCGACAGAAAUAUUAGUUAUAUUAUCAAUCAAUGUUUUUCUUUUAAUUUUUCAAUUAACUUGGGUUUUUUUUAUCAGUUAAAGUUUUAGACAAAUAUAAAAAAAUUUACAACAAUUCACACGCUUUCUUCACCAAUUCAGCUUCCAUGGUUGAUUUCACUCCGUCCGUAUACAUUUUAAGAAAGUCUAGCCAAAUUGUUGUAAAUAUGUGAGUUGAACUGUUAUGAAUGAAAAAAUAAAUUCGGUCUAUACACAGAGUUGAGUCAUGAGUGUAUAACAUCAUUUUUCUACUUAGAUUUCUUAGCUGGUCCACAAAAACUAAAAUUCGUUGGGAAAGGCCGCGUAAAAGCAAGGUUGCUUUCCCCGCAGUUUGAGGCCACACACAAAAACUCAAUCGUAAAGCCAUUUCACUUCAACUUUGCAUUGCACGUAAAUCUCAAUCCAAAUCAAAUGGCCUCCCUUCGUAUUCGUAACCUUCUCCGUUUCUCCAUACACGUACGUAUAUGACUCAUUCUUCUUCAACGUUACAUUGUUGCUUAUCACUCAUUCUUCUAUUUCCUUCCUCGCAGGGGACGCUGCUUUCAUCUUCUCCACUUCGACCAGGUCUUUUCCUUUUCAUCACUUCAUUUAUUAUUAUUAUUAUUCCCUUUUUAAUCCGUUUUCAAACGUCCAUAGUAAUUAUUACUAUACUGCCUUCUACCUGUUUGUUUCUUUUUCUUCUGUAAACAAACGUUAGAAAUAGGAAAAAGAAAAAGACAAAAAUCGCGUUUAACGGCUACAUGAGAAACCGUUUAGCUGAGCCUUGUAUAGUGUAGGGUUUUCGGGAAGCUCUCGAAGCUACAGCGUCGUUGAAUCUUCGAAACAUUUUCUAUUGAAGUCCGACGAUGAGGAGAUAUUCGCUCUCCGUCGCAAAUUCGAAGCUGCCAAACAGAGUUUUCUCAGUAUUCCCGAUGCGCUCCGGGAAAUGCCCAAAAUGAAUCCUAAAGGUUCGUUAGAUGAUCGGUUCGCUUCAACUUGUUUUGAAAUUGCAUUGUUUCUGAAUGUUGAUCGUUUUUUUUUUUUUUUUUUUAUCUUUCUUAUGUGUAUUGGAUUAGGCAUAUAUGUGAAUAAGAACGUGAGAUUGGACCAAUUGCAAGUUUAUGGGUUCGACUAUGAUUACACAUUGGCGCAUUACUCGUCUGAUUUACAGACUUUGAUAUAUGACCUUGCCAAGGAGUACUUGGUUAAUGAGGUUAGCUCUGACAACACAGUCCUGCUUUAUGACUAUGGUUCCUUUCCUUACUCAUCUUGUUGCUCCUUUCAGCUUAGGUAUCCGGAGGUUUGCACGAGUUUUAAAUAUGAUCCAACUUUCCCCAUUAGAGGCCUAUACUAUGAUAAGUCAAAAGGGUGCCUCAUGAAGCUGGAUUUCUUUGGUUCAAUUGAGCCGGAUGGAUGCUUCUUUGGAAGACGCAGGGUAUGCGGCACUGAUUGUUUUUGUUUCAUUUGGCAGUUGCGUGCAUCUUAUUAGCUUCUAUUGUUUAUUUUCAUUUGGUUUUAAACUUUUUAUGGAGCGUCUCUGUGGUUCUAAUUAUCCACAUACAAUUGGAACUGUGUAAUGUUAGUUAGGGUUUUAUAGAUUGCAUAAGGACAAACUAAAUGCUAGUUUGUCAGUCAGCAUAGUUUGUCUGUUGUUACAGAAAUGAAAAUAGUGCCAGUAAAAUAGUGUUUAUAACAAUUUCUUUCUUUUGUAUAAUUUUACAGCUAAGCCAUACAGAAAUACGUGACAUAUAUGGCACGCGGCAUAUUGGUCGUGAUCAUGCUCGAUCACUUGUUGGUUUGAUGGAUUUCUUCUGCUUCAGUGAGGUUAGUUCCCUGUUGUCCUGUCAUUCAAUAAUAACUUCUGCUUUUGUGAUGUGCAACGUUGGAGCUUUGCCUCAGUGAACUGUUAUGCAGUGUGUCUUGUACUCUUCAUAUGUCAAAGAAGAUUAUUGUUAUCCUGAGUAUGCAUGUCAUAAAGUUACACAAAUAAUUGACUACCAUCCACAUAUCGCCUUC